AGCGCCUGCGCGCGGCCGAUCUCGCCGCCGUUCGCCGUCACCGCGCUGUUGAGCGCCAUGUUCUGCGGCUUGAACGGCGCGACGCGCGCGCCCGUGCGGCGCGCGAGCCGGCACAGGCCCGCGACGAGCGUGCUCUUGCCCGCGUCGGACGUCGUGCCCUGGAUCAUCAGCGUGCCGCGCGGACGGGCGGCGUUGGCGUUGGCGUUGGCGUUGGCGUUGGCGUUGGCGUUGGCGUUGGCGUUGGCAAUCAUCGUGAACGAAUGGCGCGACGCGCGGCGCGCGGCAAAUGGCGAAGGCCGCAUUAUCGCGCGGCCCGUUACAAUCACGCGAUGAUUCCGCGCGACCUCACCUUCGUUCUCGGCGGCGCGCGCUCGGGCAAGAGCGCGCACGCCGAACGGCUCGCCGCCGCAGGCGGACGGCCCGUCACCUAUAUCGCCACCGCCCGCGUCGCGGACGACGAAUUCGCCGAGCGCAUCGCGCAUCAUCGCGCGCGCCGGCCGGCCGGCUGGGCGCUCGUCGAGGCGCCCGUCGAGCUCGCGCCCGCGCUCGCCCGGCUCGACGACGCGAACGCGUGCGUGCUCGUCGAUUGCCUCACGCUGUGGCUCACGAACCUGCUCUGCCCGGCCGACGGCCCGGGCGUCGACGACGCGCGCUGCGACGCUUACGUCGCCGAACUCGAAGCGGCGCUGCGCGCGAGCCGCGCGCGGGUGAUCGUCGUCAGCAACGAGAUCGGCUUCGGCGUCGUGCCGCUCGGCAGGCAGACGCGCCGCUUCGUCGAUACGCUCGGCCGCGUCAAUCAGCGCAUCGCGGCGCUCGCGACACGCGUGACGCUGUGCGUGGCCGGCCUGCCCGUCAUGGUCAAGGACGAGGGCGAACCGCGAUGCUGAUGCUGUCGCUGCCCGCCGUCGCCUGCCUCGCGGUCGCCGGCUGCGUCGUCGACAAGCUCGUCGGCGAGCCGCGCGCCGCGCAUCCGCUCGUCGCGUUCGGCCGGCUCGCCGCGCGCCUCGAACGCGCGCUCAACACCGGACGGCGCGGCCGGCUCGCGGGCCUCGCCGCGUGGCUCGCCGCCGUCGCGCCGCCCGUCGCGCUCGCCGCGUGGCUCGCCGCCGCGCUGCACGUCGCGCUGCACGUCGCGCUGCUGUGGUUCGCGCUCGGCGCGCGCAGCCUCGCCGAGCACGUCGCGCCGAUCGCCGCGGCGCUGCUGCGCCGCGAUCUCGCGGCCGCGCGCGCGCUGACCGCGCGCAUCGUGUCGCGCGACACGAGCGCCGCCAACGAGGCCGCGCUGUCGCGCGCGGCGGUCGAAUCGGCGCUCGAGAACGGCAACGACGCGAUCUUCGGUGCG
rnacentral:rRNA from 1 species